rnacentral:rRNA from 1 species
CCAAUAGCGUAUAUUAAAGUUGUUGCAGUUAAAAAGCUCGUAGUUGAAUUUCGGGAUCAAUGGGUUGGUCAUGCCCUCGGUAUGUACUGAUUUCACUGGUUCUCACCUUCUAAGGAACCAUGAUGUCAUUCGUUUGAUGUUGUGGGGAAUUAGGACUGUUACCUUGAAAAACUUAGAGUGUUUAAAGCAGGCUAACGCUUGAAUACAUUAGCAUGGAAUAAUGAAAUAGGACAUCCGAUUCUAUUUUGUUGGUUUCUAGGAUCGAUGUAAUGAUUAAUAUGGAUAGUUGGGGGCAUUAGUAUUCAAUUGUCAGAGGUGAAAUUCUUGGAUUUAUUGAAGACUAACUACUGCGAAAGCAUUUGCCAAGGAUGUUUUCAUUAAUCAAGAACGAAAGUUAGGGGAUCGAAGACGAUCAGAUACCGUCGUAGUCUUAACCAUAAACUAUGCCGACUAGGGAUCGGAUGAUGCUUAUUUUUUAAUGACUCAUUCGGCACCUUACG